AAUGUUUGGCACCAACAUUAACCUUUUGCUGGAAGGGUGUCUCAACUGAGUUUAUGUUAAUUGCCACCAACUGACUGGCAUCCUACUGACGCCAAACAGAGAAUUUAUCUCCCCUCCUUCCGUCAUAUGUGACUGGGUCUCUGUUAGGGUCUUUGGAGACCUUAAACACAGGUUCUGGGGUGUGAGUCUGCUUGGUGCACGUGCUCCGGGCUGGGGGGCUGGCCUCUUAAAAUCCAGUGGGUGUGGGGCCGGGGCCCUCUGCUGGGGUCAUCUCUGAAUCCUAUUAGUUCUUUGAAAUCAUUAAAACCGUGUGUGGCUCAUGAGAGUCUUGGCACUGCAUUAACACAACUUCUACAGUCCUGGAAGGAAGUAUUCAGUUCUCCGGGAACAGUCCUGCUCCAACGGCCUCGGCUCCACCCAGACACUGAGAACCUCUUCUUAGCUGAGGUCGAGCAGGAACAGAAAUCGGGAUAUUGGUUAUCGGUGCCUUCUCUCUUCUUUUGUCCUGAUCAGCCAACCAUGUGUGGGACCUGUCUCUCAUUACUUGUUCGGAUGGUGACUCAUGGUGUCGUUUCCUUAAGUACUGAUCUGUGAUUCAACAGUCUUGCACAAUUCACAGCGUGGAGACCCAAUUCUUAUUCACCUUCUGGUAAAUGGAGCCACCAAACUCUGCCCCACUUUCACUUCUGCGUGAAGCUGGACUUGAUAAGUCUUGAAGCCAAGCAAAGUUUCUCUGGGUUACUCAGGACUUUGUGGUUUCAAAAUUCAUUUGUUAGCCAUGCCGCCAGCCCUGCUAACUCAGCACCAAGCACCCUGGAGCCCAGAGAUGUCAAGAUUCUCAGCACAGCCCAGGCUGAUGUGCUCCUGCUGGUACCCUGUCUUGAGUUGAGCUGUCCGCACCUCCCCAGUGUGAGCCAAGAAGCAUGAAUCAAAAAUCAUCUUCCGUGCACACGCAAGCUCAUCUUCCCCGACAGCCUCCGUGCAGACUGCUGUGGUGUUCCACUUCUCCCCAAACAUCUGAGUGUGCACUUGAUCCCCAGUACUUGCUUCCAAACUGCCCUCCUCUGCAGCGGUCUCAGUGUUGGCUGAGGCUGGGCUGCAGUUGCUUAUUUAAGCAACAAAAUUUCAGCCACAUCUGCCAUCUUCCAGUAAUUCGCCAAAAUGACCAACACAAAGGGAAAGAGGAGAGGCACCUGCUAUAGCCUCUCUAAGCCUCUCAGAAAAUGUGGAGUCGUUCCUUUGGCCACAUAAGUGCAAAUCCACAAGAAAGGUAACACUGUGGCAGAUCUGGAAGAGUCUGUGUGUCACCCAGCAUGCUGUGCGCAUCAUUGUAAACACACAAGUUAAGGGCAGGUUUCCUGCCAAGAGAAUUAAUGUGCCCAGUGAGUGUAUUAAGCACUCAAAAUGCCGAGCUAGCUUCCUGAAGCGUGUGAAGGAAAAUGAUCAGAAAGAGAAGGAAGCCGAAGAGAAAGGUACUCGGGUACGUGGUUCCAUUUGAGCUAAUCUGUCCCACCCAGAGACGCACCCUGUGAGAACCAUGGAAAGGAGCCUGAGCAGCGGGAACCCAUUCCCUACGGAUUCAUGGCCUGAUAACUGUAAAAAAAAAAAAAAAAA